ensembl:lncRNA
GAGAUUGUUAUAGAAGAAUUGAAAAGCUGAGAAAACACAAGAGAAACUCAAAGAUUACCUGUAAAUAACAACUGCAAGAAACAACUUCCAUUUCUUAAAGCUGAGGAAAUUUUUUUAAAAAGUGGAGGUAUUGAACCACAAAGCCUUGAGGAGGGGCUCUGUGUAGAAAUGUCCUCUGUGGAGGGAGUGUGACCUGGAUGCUACCAGACUUCUAAAUGGAUGCAAUGGGGCAAAGAUAAAUGGCCAAAGAAGCUGGCAUAUCAAUCUGGGAAGACAGGUUUGCAGAGUCUUAAUGCCAGCAACUCAGAGCACUGUGUAGAUGAUAGCAUUUGGAGAGAUAAGAGUCAGAUGACAGGUGCAGCCUAACCUUUGCUACAACUCUUUUGCCUGUUUUCUUAAAAAAUAGAUCUUGAAACCAAAGCUUAUGUGCUACUCUGUAUCUGAGUAUCAAGGAGGUAGGAAUCAUGGAAAGGGGAGCAUUCUGUGAAUGCUCCUUUUAGAGUCCCCUCCCUAUGGCCAAGACACAUAUUCCCCAGCUACCCUGCAUUUUAGCUUUUAAAGGCUCACAAUUGCAUUGUGCAUCUAAAUUGCCCUUGACCAAGGCAAACUGCCUUACCCAAGGUUAUUUAUCUCCCCCUGAGUCAUGGGGAAAAUAGCCAAUGUCUGGACAUUCAAAAGUCAAAUUUCUUGUUUCAGCUUAAGAUAAAUCCGAAGAGCCAGCCUGGUUCAAGAAAUGAUCAUAAGUUUGUCAGGUCUCAAAACUGCACGGCUGAUUGGCUUGUCCUUCCGUCUUCCUGCCACUCCUGUCUUCUUCACUUUUUGACAGAUCUAUCUUGCUGGAGCACUUCCCUGCCAACCUGCGUGCAACCCUCUGUCUCUGUUUCUGAGGAAGUUGAUGCAAACUGGUGGAACUGGACUCAUCCUGAAGUGGAAUUUUGGAGAUGAAUCAUUCUCUGGUAAGGUUGGUGUUGAGGACAUCAUCAUUUGUGGAAAAGAAGCCUGCAAAUUACCAUGGACCCACAGGCAGCAAAUGUAAACAGGAGGCAAAUGGCAGCUCGCAAUUGCAAGUGCGUACCCCAGUCCUACAGCAACCUUUGCAAGCAUACUUAUUUCCACAGGAGGUAAAGGAGACAGAAGUAUCAUUUUGGAACAUAACCUUUCUAAGCUAGAAAUGAUACACUUCAUGACUGAAAUAUAAAUGGAAGAGUAAACUCAAGGCCUGAAUUCAUUAGAUCAUUGAGCAGUUUUGCCUUUUUUGAGUAAAUAUUGGUUUGUCAAUUUUGAGCUUCUUAAGGCUGGGUACUGUGUUGACUCAUCAUUGUAGCAUGCAGAUUACUGGCUGAAGAAUUAUGUCUACUGCAUUAAUUCAACGUAUACUUAUUGAGAUCCUACUAUGUUCCUGGUACUGCAGUAAGUGAUGGGCAUGGAGUAGUGAAGGAGGGUGGCAGGGAAGAAGAAGAGGUGUCUAGCCUAGGCAGUGAGCCUGCAAUGAGAUUCACAGUUUGGGAAGUAGUCAGACACAUCUACCUCACCUUCUUUGGGGCCCAGCCAGCUGGCAGAGAGCAUGUUUUGUGAUCUGUCUUUUGCCAUGAGGUAAUAGGGGUCUUCAUCUGGAGGGAAAGGCUUAAGAAUGCCCACCAGUGACUGGGUUGCUCACUUAGUCUAAUACCUAAGGUUAUUUUCUUCAAAUGUCCUCAUCACUGAUAGAGUUAAUACUUUAUCUCCCUGAUUCCCAAGACUGUCUCUCACUUGAUGCUGUACUUGGGUAGAUAAGAGACAGAUAGUAAUAUUGACCUCUUUUUUUUUUGCUCUUUUAAAAAUAAUUUAUUUAACAUAUACAAAUUUCAUGUAUUUCAUAUAUGCAGAUUUAGACCUACCACCAUCCCCCCACACUCCUGCCCUUCUUCCUCCUCCCUCUCCUAUUCCCACUCUAAAUUUUUACAAAGAUCUAUUUUUAGUUUACUUUAUUUAUACUCAUAAGAUUAACCCUACACUAAGUAAACAUUUCAACAAAUAGUAUGAAGAAAAACACUGUUCCUCAAUAAUAGAGACCAGGGCUAUAAACAUUAUUGAAUUUCAAAAUGUCAAUUUCACUCUAAUACAUUACAUUUUAGGUACUCUAUUAGUCACCACAGAUCAGGGAAAACAUAUGGUACUUCUCUUUUGGUGACUGGCUUUUUUCAUGAAGUAUAAUGGUUUCCAGUUGCAUCCAUUUAGUUGCAAAAUACAGAAUUUCAUUUUUUUAUAUCACUGAGUUAGUAUUCUCUUUCUUUGCUGUUUUUCCUAAAGAUUGAUUUUUUUGAAAGGCAGACUUACAGAGAGGGAAGAAGGGAGGGAGAGUGGGAGGGAGGAAAAGAGGGAGAGAGACACUUUUCACCCAUUUUCUUUACAAAUGCCUGCAAUAGCCAGGGCUGGGAUAGGUUGAAGAUAGGAGCCAGGAACUUCAUCUAGGGAUCCCAUGUGGGGGCAAAGAUGCAAGGAUUUGGACCAUCUUCUGCUGCUUUCCCAGACAAAUUAGCAGGCAGCUGGAUCAGAAGUAGAGCAGCUGGGACUCGAACUAGCUCUCAUAUGAGAUGCCAGUGUUUCAGGCAGCAACUUAACCAGCUGUGCCACAUUGCUGGUCCCUAUUAUUGACCUCUAAAAACACAAAGAUAGACAAACUUCUGCCAAUAACUAGCAGGAUGAUCUAUGGCAAAUUUCUUAAUUCUGAGUCUCUUUAUUUGUAAAUUGAGACUAGGAAGUGAUUUCUAAACUUCUUGGCUGCUCAACUAUUCAAUGAUUCUAUGUUUAUAAUAGGAUUUUUAAAAAUUGAAAUACUUUUUUAUUAUUGAGAGAAAAUUUCCAACUACAAAAUUUGUUACAGGUUAUUUAAUGCAAGUUUUUUGGAUUAUGACUAAACCUGAGAAAAACGCAUGUUGUUUGCUUUACUAAAGAAUAGCUCCACUUGAGCAUGUCCCAAAUUGCACAUCUCUUCCUUCUCUUAUUCCCACUCUUAUAUUUAACAGCGAUCACUUUUCAGUUAAGUUUCAACACUUGAGAAUAACUGUGCAUUGAUUACAGUAUUCAACCAAAAGUAUUAAGUAGAACAAACAAAAAAAAUACUAAGAGUGAAAUCUUUACUUAAUAUAUGCUAAACUGAUCUUCUGUGUAUAAAGAGAAUUGAAAAUGAAUCUUGAUGUGAAUGGAAGGGGGGAGGGAGAGGAAAAGGGGAGGGUUGCAGGUGGGAGGGAAGUUAUGGGGGGGGGAGCCAUUGUAAUCCAUAAGCUGUACUUUGGAAAUUUAUAUUCGUUAAAUAAAAGUUAAAAAAUAAAAAAAUACCUAGAAAAA